rnacentral:rRNA from 1 species
AACGAACGCUGGCGGCAUGCCUAACACAUGCAAGUCGAACGAGACCUUCGGGUCUAGUGGCGCACGGGUGCGUAACGCGUGGGAACCUGCCCUUAGGUUCGGAAUAACUCCCCGAAAGGGGUGCUAAUACCGGAUAAUGUCUUCGGACCAAAGAUUUAUCGCCUUUGGAUGGGCCCGCGUUGGAUUAGCUAGUUGGUAGGGUAAAAGCCUACCAAGGCGACGAUCCAUAGCUGGUCUGAGAGGAUGAUCAGCCACACUGGGACUGAGACACGGCCCAGACUCCUACGGGAGGCAGCAGUGGGGAAUAUUGGACAAUGGGCGAAAGCCCGAUCCAGCAAUGCCGCGUGAGUGAUGAAGGCCUUAGGGUUGUAAAGCUCUCUUACCCGGGAUGAUAAUGACAGCACCGGGAGAAUAAGCUCCGGCUAACUCCGUG